UGAACAGAUUAUUGUAUUCGACUGUAUUCACGCGUGAAAUAGGUGAUUACACUAUUUUUAAAACGGAAAGUGAAUCAAUUAACAUAAUAGACUCCU
rnacentral:pre_miRNA from 1 species